rnacentral:rRNA from 1 species
CCUACGGGAGGCAGCAGUGAGGAAUAUUGGUCAAUGGACGCAAGUCUGAACCAGCCAAGUAGCGUGCAGGAUGACGGCCCUCCGGGUUGUAAACUGCUUUUAGUUGGGAAUAAAAGGGGGCUCGUGAGCCCCGUAUUGUAUGUACCAUCAGAAAAAGGACCGGCUAAUUCCGUGCCAGCAGCCGCGGUAAUACGGAAGGUCCGGGCGUUAUCCGGAUUUAUUUGGUUUAAAGGGAGCGUAGGCCGGCUUUUAAGUCAGCUGUGAAAGUCCGCGGCUCAACCGUGGAAUUGCAGUUGAAACUGGAGGACUUGAGUGCACACAGGGAUGCCGGAAUUCAUGGUGUAGCGGUGAAAUGCUUAGAUAUCAUGAAGAACUCCGAUCGCGAAGGCAAGUGUCUGGGGUGCAACUGACGCUGAGGCUCGAAAGUGAGGGUAUCAAACAGGAGUAGAUACCCCAGUAGUC